AUGUCAAAAUUCACAACUAUCCAGUUACCGCAUUGGGAUGGUGGCAAGCUGAAAGUUCGCUUCAUAUACUUGUCAAAUAGAAGCUCUUUCAAAGUGACGAGCUGUCCUAUGGAGGGAUCAAUGGUUCCUCUCUUUUUAGGGGCUGAUCUCUUCUCAAACACUGAUAUCCGCACAGAGAACCAUCCCAGAUAUCAUGCAAAGUUUGCAAAGAAAGGAUUGGCAACUAAACUAAAUUUCUCCUCAGCUUUUAGAUUCCAUGGACUGAGGGUACCCACUGCCAACAAUUGCAUGUGGUUCUACAGCAUCCAAGGUGUUUUUCGAGUGGCCUUUGAAAUGUAUAGUAAACAAGAGCAGCUCUCUGUGUUGGAGAACUUUCAGGAGGUAUGGAAGUCCCGCCUAAAUGACAUCCCACUAAAGAUGAACUACAACCUGAGUGUCCAGCUGGAUCCUCCACCGCCCCAGAUCGUUGUGGAGAUGUAUGACCAAGACCUAAAGCUCAAACUGAUGUCCCGGAAUCCCCAAGGUUACCCAUCUCAAUCUGUGGAAAUCCCAGAGGCAGACACAGGCCCUUCAGGUGACACUUCAGCAGACCACGAUUACUGCUUUCUGCCAAAUGAGAGUAUGCCAGCACAGCCAGUCCAUCUAUGUCCCUCCAUCUUAAGUCAAAAACUGCAGGGCUUGGAGGACAAGCUGAGCUCUGAGAAACAGCUGGGGACCGACCAGCAGGAGACCAUACUGCUUCUGUUGGAGAGCAUUGAGCGCUGUGUGAGCAGGCCCCUGGAGGAGAGGGAUGUGGCGGACAUUGUACUAGCUCUGCUAGAGGCUCGGAAGUGGGGCUCUGUGUACUCCAGCCACCUGCUUCACUCUAUAGGCUGCUGGCUUGGCCAGCAGUUCCAUGGAGCCAACAGUAGUAUCAGCCAGCAGGUAGAGGGCUUCAAGGUGCGGCACAUAGAGCGAAUCACAGAUCUGCCACCUGCAGAGGAACUGGCCUCAGAGCUUUUUCCAGAGGCCAUGCGAACACUGCUGCUCCACUGGAUGGGUCUGAGUGAUGACUCAACCCUGUGGAAGAGACAGAGUGAGUACCCCAUCCUGCUCCUAAUCCUGGAGUUUGCCAACCACAACCUCAUCACUGGUGUUGCACAUGUGCUUUACUCAAGUCUUAAGGUGAAUUUAGAUUUAGCCAACUCAAAAGAGUUAAGUACCGAAGAAAGUAAAACUACUGUUGUAAAAAAAACUACUCAAGUAAAAAUUACUUAA
rnacentral:lncRNA from 1 species